UCUUGACCUCAAAUCAGGUAGGACUACCCGCUGAACGUAGGCAUUUCAAUAAGUGGUGGUAUGUGAUGUAGUACGUGCAGUGUGACGUGAUCGUGACGUGACCCUGGUAUGAA
rnacentral:rRNA from 1 species